rnacentral:rRNA from 1 species
GCUGAAUAUGGGGAGUCGGGUUGGGGAGACCGGAGGGUGCAACUGUUAUCCGGAGUUAUUGUGUUUUAAGGGUACGUAGGCGGACGCUGAAUUCAGUGGUGAAAGCCAGUCGCGUAACGUUAGAACUGCCAUUUAUACUGUAAGUCUUGAGUAUAUUUGAGGUAGCUUGAAUAAGUAGUGUAGCGGUGAAAUGCAUAGAUAUUACUUAGAACACCAAUUGCGAAGGCAGGUUACCAAGAUAUAACUGACGCUGAGGGACGAAAGCGUGGGGAGCGAACAGGAUUAGAUACUCCGGUAGUC